rnacentral:lncRNA from 1 species
AACCCGAUCAUUUUGUUUUAGGAAACAAAUUUCUCGACAACUCUGCUGCAUGUAAAAAAAUUUCAUCGGCGAUCUUCUUGUUCCAGGCGACCAAUCGCUUCACCGGCGGCUAUUUAGGGGUUUCCUCUGUGAUCGGCGACCAUCGAUCAAACCGCGACACAAGCCAAAUUCAUCGACAACGACCGAUCAAAUCCGAUCUUCUCUUCCAAGUUAAUUCAUCAACCAAUCUUUUCUUUUUUGUUCUUAACCCCCAAAUCUGAUUUGUUUUUUUUGUUAUUAAAGUGGACUUCGGUUUGGAAACCAAUUGCUACGGUUGAUUUUCUGAGAUGAGGAUAUCGAAAAUGAGUUUUUUGAGUUGAGUUAAUUUGUUUGGAUUCGAUUGAGGAUAUCGAAAAUUAGGUUAUCCUCCUUUAGUUCUCUGUUGCUGCGACUCUUUUCAUCAUCAUUAUUCUCAUCUCUCUCCUUCUUAAAACGAGUUGAAAGACUUGUUUCUUUCUUAACCUCCUUAACUUUCUAAACUUAAAAAAAAAAAUCUGGAUUUCUCCAAUGUAUAUUAAAAAUACACAAGUUUCUUUGUGAGUUUCUUUAAUCAGUUUUACUAUUAUAAUAAUCAAGGAAAAACCAAGAUGGGUUUCUCUGAUAAACAU